UACGUAGGGUGCGAGCGUUGUCCGGAAUUAUUGGGCGUAAAGAGCUUGUAGGCGGUUUGUCGCGUCUGCCGUGAAAUUUCGAGGCUCAACCUCGAACUUGCGGUGGGUACGGGCAGACUAGAGUGUGGUAGGGGGAGACUGGAAUUCCUGGUGUAGCGGUGAAAUGCGCAGAUAUCAGGAGGAACACCGAUGGCGAAGGCAGAUCUCCUGGGCCAUUACUGACACUGAGAAGCGAAAGCAUGGGGAGCGAACAG
rnacentral:rRNA from 1 species